AAUAUAUUAACUUCCAAAUCCUAAAUCCUCAUCUCACACAAUCAUAAAAAUGGCAAUCCAGCACAAGAACUCCGAUCAGCCAUGGAUCCUGGAGGCAACAACGUUCGUGACGCUUGUCUUGAUCGCUAUUCACGUCAUUGCAUUGGUUUUUGCCAUUUAUAAAUUAGCUACGGCGAAACAACCAACGGGGAAACCAGAGCAAUUGAAGAAAGUUAAUUAGGGAUUUCAUGUAUGCAGUGAGUAUUAUGGAAUAAGCUCCCAUAGAUUUCAUUUGGUGUUGUUUUUUAUUUUGUUUUUCCACAUGAGCGUUAGGUGUUCGAUGAAAUGACUCAAAGAAAAUGUUUGUGUUUGUCAAUUAUGUUGUAUUGUUAGCAUGGUUAUGGUUUCACUUUGGUAGGUAAAAUGUCACUUUUGGAUGUUUCGACA